rnacentral:rRNA from 1 species
GUGGAUUAGCUACCCUGGUAGUCCACGCCGUAAACGUUGGGCACUAGGUGUGGGGCUCUAUCGACGGGCUCCGUGCCGUAGCUAACGCAUUAAGUGCCCCGCCUGGGGAGUACGGCCGCAAGGCUAAAACUCAAAGGAAUUGACGGGGGCCCGCACAAGCGGCGGAGCAUGUGGCUCAAUUCGAUGCAACGCGAAGAACCUUACCUGGGCUGAACUACGCGGGAAAAGCCAUAGAAAUAUGGUGUCCUUCGGGGUCCGCGAUAGGUGGUGCACGGCCGUCGUCAGCU